GAUGAACGCUGGCGGCGUGCCUAAUACAUGCAAGUCGAGCGAACAGAUGAGGAGCUUGCUCCUCUGACGUUAGCGGCGGACGUGUGAGUAACACGUGGAUCACCUACCUAUAAGACUGGGAUAACUUCGGGAAACCGGAGCUAAUACCGGAUAAUCUAUUGAACCGCAUGGUUCAAUAGUGAAAGACGGUUUUGCUGUCACUUAUAGAUGGAUCCGCGCCGCAUUAGCUAGUUGGUAAGGUAACGGCUUACCAAGGCAACGAUGCGUAGCCGACCUGAGAGGGUGAUCGGCCACACUGGAACUGAGACACGGUCCAGACUCCUACGGGAGGCAGCAGUAGGGAAUCUUCCGCAAUGGGCGAAAGCCUGACGGAGCAACGCCGCGUGAAUGAUGAAGGUCUUCGGAUCGUAAAACUCUGUUAUUAGUGAAGAACAAAUGUGUAAGUAACUAUGCACGUCUUGACGGUACCUAAUCAGAAAGCCACGGCUAACUACGUG
rnacentral:rRNA from 1 species